AGUGAACGCUGGCGGUAGGCCUAACACAUGCAAGUCGAACGGCAGCACAGUAAGAGCUUGCUCUUACGGGGGGCGAGUGGCGGACGGGUGAGGAAUACAUCGGAAUCUACUUUUUCGUGGGGGAUAACGUAGGGAAACUUACGCUAAUACCGCAUACGACCUACGGGGGAAAGCAGGGGAUCUUCGGACCUUGCGUGAUUGAAUGAGCCGAUGGCGGAUUAGUUAGUUGGCGGGGUAAAGGCCCACCAAGGCGACGAUCCGUAGCGGGUCUGAGAGGAGGAUCAGUCACACUGAAACUGAGCAACGGCCCAGACCCCUAGGGACGGCACAGGGGGGAAUUAUUGAAAAAGGGGCGAAAGCUUGACCCACCCAUGCGGGUUGGUUGAAGAAGGCCUUCGGUUUGGAAAGCCUUUUGUUGUGGAAGAAAAGGCAGCGGGUUAAAACCCGGCUUUUUGACGGUAACCAACAGAUAAGCCACCGCUAACCUCCUG
rnacentral:rRNA from 1 species